rnacentral:rRNA from 1 species
CCUACGGGAGGCAGCAGUGAGGAAUAUUGGUCAAUGGACGAGAGUCUGACCCAGCCAAGUAGCGUGAAGGAUGACUGCCCUAUGGGUUGUAAACUUCUUUUAUAAAGGAAUAAAACGAGGCACGUGUGCCUUUUUGCAUGUACUUUAUGAAUAAGGAUCGGCUAACUCCGUGCCAGCAGCCGCGGUAAUACGGAGGAUCCGAGCGUUAUACGGAUUUAUUGGGUUUAAAGGGAGCGUAGAUGGGUUGUUAAGUCAGUUGUGAAAGUUUGCGGCUCAACCGUAAAAUUGCAAUUGAUACUGGCAGUCUUGAGUACAGUUGAGGUAAGCGGAAUUCGUGGUGUAGCGGUGAAAUGCUUAGAUAUCACGAAGAACCCCGAUUGCGAAGGCAGCUUACUAAACUGUGACUGACAUUGAUGCUCGAAAGUGUGGGUAUCAAACAGGAUUAGAUACCCGUGUAGUC